rnacentral:misc_RNA from 1 species
UAGGGCAGUGGCGCAGAA